AUGUAGCCUUAACAAAUUAAAAAAAUGUGACAAAACUUGCCUAGUAGGCUAGCUUGAAUGCUUUCUUUACUUCUUCUGUCGAAUGCUCCUUCUUCUUCUUCUUCAACAGGGUGCUUCUUUCUUCAAGAACUAGAAAAAUGGAGAGAGAAAACUUGGCUCUGAUACCAGUGAUUGAACUUAAGGAAGAAGAAAGAACAGAUUUUUAAGGGGCUCCGGUAAUGGGAGCGUAGAUUGUAACAUUUUUAUGGUGGGAUACAUAUAUUCCAUCAUCAAUGGCACACCUAACGUAACGCACAGCUACCCCUCAAUCAGAAACCAUUCGUCAAUGCACACUAACUUUCCAAUCAAAUACAUGAGAGAAUCCCCCACUAUUGGCAUUCGAUCAGAUCUUCGCAUUGAUGUCACAUUGCAACCCAAACGGCAAAUCAACUACAGCCUGCAAUAUGAUGUACCAAGUAGUAUCUAAUGUAUCGUGUUGUAUGGAAUUUUCUAUAUUAUGUAUAUAUAGAUGAUUUGUGUGCAUAUUGUAUCAAAUGCACUAUCCAAUGUAUCAUGUUGUAUCAAAUUUAUCAGUGUAACUAGUAGAAAUGUAUCUAGUAGAAA